rnacentral:rRNA from 1 species
UAUCCUGGCUCAGGAUGAACGCUGGCGGCGUGCCUAACACAUGCAAGUCGAACGGAGAUAUUGCUUGGAAGCUUUUCGAGGUGAAAGAGAAGUAUCUUAGUGGCGGACGGGUGAGUAACGCGUGGGCAACCUGCCUCAUACAGGGGGAUAGCAUCGGGAAACUGGUGGUAAAACCGCAUAAGCGCACGAGGACGCAUGUUUUUGUGUGAAAAGGAGAAAUCUGGUAUGAGAUGGACCCGCGUCUGAUUAGCUAGUUGGAGUGGUAAAAGCACACCAAGGCAACGAUCAGUAGCCGGCCUGAGAGGGUGGACGGCCACAUUGGGACUGAGACACGGCCCAGACUCCUACGGGAGGCAGCAGUGGGGAAUAUUGCACAAUGGAGGGAACUCUGAUGCAGCGACGCCGCGUGAGUGAAGAAGUAAUUCGUUAUGUAAAGCUCUAUUAGCAGGGAAGAAAGUGACGGUACCUGAAAAAGAAGCUCCGGCUAAAUACGUG